GACACCACGUGGAGGAUGAAGCCCCUCGGGGUGUAAACUCCUGUCAGAAGGGAAGAAGGCGCGGGCGUUAAUACCGUCCGUUGCUUGACGGUACCUUCAGAGGAAGCUCCGGCUAACUACGUGCCAGCAGCCGCGGUAAUACGUAGGGAGCGAGCGUUGUUCGGAUUUACUGGGCGUAAAGGGCACGUAGGCGGGUAUGCAAGUCGGUUGUGAAAUCCUCUGGCUCAACCAGAGAACUGCAGCCGAAACUGCACACCUUGAGUCUAGCAGAGGGAAUCGGAAUCCCAGGUGUAGCGGUGAAAUGCGUAGAUAUCUGGGAGAACAUCAGUGGCGAAGGCGGAUUCCUGGGCUGGUACUGACGCUGAGGUGCGAAAGCUAAGGGAGCGAACAGGAUUAGAUACCCUGGUAGUCUUAGCCGUAAACGAUGGGUACUAGGUGUUGGAGGACAUUGACCCCUUCAGUGCCGUAGCUAACGCAUUAAGUACCCC
rnacentral:rRNA from 1 species